AUGAUUCCAGGACCUGGAAUCAUACCAGCCGAUGGGUGCUGGUUUAUUGCUCGUUCAGCUGACGGCGGUCAUUUCAUGCUCAUUCACACAUACCAAAUUGACCAAACCAUUACAUCAAACCACAUGCAGUACAAUGCAUGGGGCGUUCGUGACAUUGAUGGCUAUGGCUGCUUCGUGUUCGAGAAAGAUCCCAGCUCCGUUGGGCCAGGCGUAUUCAACUGGAGGCGGUCGAAGAAGGAUUGGCUGGUGCUGCCGGCUGGCGUCAAGUUCGAUCCCAUGGAUCGGGAGCUGAUCGAGCACCUUGAGGCCAAAGUGAGUGUUGACAGCGUGAGAUUUCAGUCUCUCAUCGAUUUGUUCAUACCAACCAUCGACAGCGAGCACGGCAUAUGCUACACCCAACCUGAGAAACUUCCAUGUAUCACACUGAGUGGCCUAAGGAAGCAUUUCUUCCAGCGCAAUUCUAGGGCGUUCAAAAGGGGCACGUGGACGCGUCGCAAAAUACAGUCGAAGUGUGGCAUGCACGCGAUGUGGCACAAGACCGGCAAUACCUUGCCUGUGAUGAGGACCAACUGGGUGAUGCACCAGUACCACCUCGGGGACCUGGAGCAAGAGAAGCAACGGGAGCUGGUCCUCUGCAAAAUUUUCUACCAGACGAACACUAGGGCCAAGAGUAGUUUGGUAUUGGUAGUUGUACUACCUUGUCGUCCGCAAGUUGGUAUUGUUGUUAACGGUCUUUUGGCCCAGCCCAUGACGACAACGGGGCACAAAGAUCCAGCAGGUAUCUACUGGCCUCUAGCCCGCCAGCGUUAG
rnacentral:rRNA from 1 species